rfam:Anopheles stephensi strain SDA-500 unplaced genomic scaffold supercont1.76, whole genome shotgun sequence.
AUACUUACCUGACAAAUGGGUUACUGUGUUCUCCUAGGUGGUUCCCCAUGGGUGAGGCCUGGUCAUUGCACUUGGGCUGGAUUGACCCCUGCGAUUUUCCCUCGUGUGGAUAACUCGUGUGUGCGAUUUUUGGUAACCGGAAUCCCGAUUUUAUCUAAAUCCAA